CCUACGGGAGGCAGCAGUGAGGAAUAUUGGUCAAUGGACGAGAGUCUGAACCAGCCAAGUAGCGUGAAGGAUGACUGCCCUAUGGGUUGUAAACUUCUUUUAUAUGGGAAUAAAACGUUCCACGUGUGGGAUUUUGUAUGUACCAUAUGAAUAAGGAUCGGCUAACUCCGUGCCAGCAGCCGCGGUAAUACGGAGGAUCCGAGCGUUAUCCGGAUUUAUUGGGUAUAAAGGGAGCGUAGGUGGAUUGUUAAGUCAGUUGUGAAAGUUUGCGGCUCAACCGUAAAAUUGCAGUUGAAACUGGCAGUCUUGAGUACAGUAGAGGUGGGCGGAAUUCGUGGUGUAGCGGUGAAAUGCUUAGAUAUCACGAAGAACUCCGAUUGCGAAGGCAGUUCACUGGACUGCAACUGACACUGAGGCUCGAAAGUGUGGGUAUCAAACAGGAUUAGAUACCCCAGUAGUC
rnacentral:rRNA from 1 species